UACGGAGGGGGCUAGCGUUGUUCGGAAUUACUGGGCGUAAAGCGCACGUAGGCGGCUUUGUAAGUUAGAGGUGAAAGCCCGGGGCUCAACUCCGGAAUUGCCUUUAAGACUGCAUCGCUAGAAUUGUGGAGAGGUAAGUGGAAUUCCGAGUGUAGAGGUGAAAUUCGUAGAUAUUCGGAAGAACACCAGUGGCGAAGGCGACUCAUUGGACAUGUAUUGACGCUGAGGUGGCGAAAGCGUGGGGAGCAAACAGG
rnacentral:rRNA from 1 species